rnacentral:ncRNA from 1 species
AAUUUAGUUAGCUAGAAGUUUGAUAAUUAAUACACGAGAUUUGUAAAAAUUUGUAAAAAAUCGAGUUUUGUAAUUUAGAUAGAACAUAUCAGAGGAAUAAGUAUCAGCUAACUCUCUAUACCGGUAGCCACAAUAAGACAAAGGAUGCAAGCGUUAUUCAGAAUAAUUGGGCGUAAAGCGCUUAUUGGUGGCUUGUCAAGUCCGCCGUCAAAUUUUAGGGCUCAACCUUGAACAGGCGGUGGAAACUAUCAAGCUGGAGUACGAUAGGAGCAGAGAAAAUUUCCGGUGGAGGAUGAAAUGCGUAGGGGAUUGGAAACAACAUCAACGGGGACCUUAGAGCUUAUAUUAACUCAUAUAUAUAUCUCUUUAUCGAUCAUUUCAAUU